CUCAUCACCCUUGUUAAUCCUGUUCUUGAACCUUUACCAGUCCUCAUCUUUCGAAAUAUUUCAGAUACUUGUCGUCCUGGGAGGAGCUCGUGGGCGCGGGCGUGGAGGCAGAAGGCUUCGCGAGCCAUCCCCUGCACGCCUACGCCCUCACCAAGCACGUGAGUCUGGGCUGGCCGCACGUGGAGGCUUCCUUACGUGCUCUCAGUAACCGCUCCCAAGCUAUAGACUUUCUCCUGGGGCGCACGAGGACCCGGGGCGUCCCCACGGGCGAGGACCUGGCCACGGUGGCGGGCGGGUUGGCCAGGCUGCACGACUACUACAGCCUCAACCUCACCGCCCUCGCCCACGCCCAGCUCGUCUCGGCGAUCGACGCCCACCCGGUCCCCGUUGGAAUCACGCCCACAGGUUGCAUUCUGCGCGCCAAAGAGAUUGUUUCAGUGAUCGUAGAUUGAAUAGCAGUGGCUUUAUAGGUGAUGCUUCCUAAAUCAAAACUCAAAAAUGUAUUAGUUUAAAAUUAUCGUUAAUUCGCAAAGUAACCAUAAGCAUCUGCUGAAACGGCGAGAUCGAUUACGUCUGACUGCCUGUCAUUACAAUUUGGCACUGGCCUAAAAGUUCAUUCAACCGCUGUAGCUUCAGCGAUCUUCUCUCUCUUUUUUUUGUCCAGUGGUUAGGCCUUUGCUCUGAUUAUUACUAAUGAUGAUAGUACCAUUAUUUCAUAUCAUUGUCAUUGCUACUGUUAAACUGAAUAUUCUACUCAUCAGUCCGUUGGUAUCUUUUUCGCCCUUCAGCGCUCGACCUGCACCGCAUCGGCUCCGCUGCCGUGUCUCACAACGUCCUGAACUCCGGCGUGGACUUCCUGCGGGCCGCCCUGGACCGCUGGGACGGCAACGCCUCCUCCGCCAGGAGCUUAGAUGUUUUUGACGCGCGCGUAGAUCUUGACGACGUUGUGAAGACCUUCAAGAAAGCCACGAAAAUUCACGACCAGCUCCUCGAGAAGAAGGGCUCUCGCUCCAAACUGCACAGCACACACGCCUCGCCCCUCAACAAGACGCUGGCGAGGAAGAAGAAGUACCACAAGAAAGAGGAGGUCCACCUUGGCAACCUCGGGGCCGAAACGCAGGGCAUGAAGCAGUAUUUGCGUCUGUGUCGUGGCGAGGAUCUCAGGCCAGUCUCCACAACCUCCCGCCUUCCUGCCGCUACGUGA